UAAGAAUAUUCCGCAAUGGACGAAAGUCUGACGGAGCGACGCCGCGUGGAUGAUGAAGGCCGAAAGGUUGUAAAGUCCUUUUGCUGGGGAAGAAUAACCAUGGGAGGGAAUGCCCGUGGGAUGACAUGAACCGGCGAAUAAGCCCCGGCUAACUACGUGCCAGCAGCCGCGGUAACACGUAGGGGGCGAGCGUUGUUCGGAAUUACUGGGCGUAAAGGGCAUGUAGGCGGCUCUGUAAGCCCGGCGUGAAAGUCACCGGCUCAACCGGUGGAUUGCGUCGGGAACUGCGGGGCUUGAAUCAUGGAGAGGGAGCUAGAAUUCCAGGUGUAGGGGUGAAAUCUGUAGAGAUCUGGAAGAAUACCAGUGGCGAAGGCGAGCUCCUGGCCAAUGAUUGACGCUGAGGUGCGAAAGUGUGGGGAUCAAAC
rnacentral:rRNA from 1 species